rnacentral:sRNA from 1 species
GUGAAACUGCUAUUGCCGGCGGCUCCUGUUUUACCGCGUCAGCAUGCUGGUGCAUUUAUUUCGGGUCGGGAUUCGGGGUGGCCCAUUCCCAGGCAGGCUGCUACCGCCCCUCCGCUUCCAGACAUUCUCAGCUGUCAGAAACACAUGGCGUAAUGGGAAAACUGGACAGUUACACAAGGCAGAAGGAGAGUAAGCGUCUCUAUCUUUCUGAUAGAAACAAGAACACAGUGGAAAACAAGACAUAAAAACCUGGCAGUUGGAAUGGGGUGGGAGAAGGCCUCAUGUAGGCAAAAGGCACAGGCCUUCCUGAAAGCAGGGGAAGGAUGAGAUGAAGACUGCAAUUAGAAGGGUCUAGGGAUGUGAAAGGCCAUGAUGGUAAAGAGAAAAGCUCACACUACUCUUUUUUUAAACCUUUCCCCAUCAGUAAGCUUAUCUAGAUCUUCUAGAUCUCACCAUCCUCUCCUGGCUGGAUAACUUCUGCUCCCUACAACCAGUCCUGUCUGCCUCCAGCCCAUGCCCCUCUG